AUGACUCUCAUUGUGUGUUGUGUCAAUAUGUCAAGCAACCUUCCGAGAGUGGAGGAGUUUUUCCUAGAGUUCCUAAAGGUUGAGGACACAUCGAGAUUGGGGCUUUUGAAGGUAUUGAUGGAUACAUUGAGUUCUUUUGAUUUGAAUGUUGCUGAUGUGAGAGGUCAAGGUUAUGAUAAUGGUUCCAACAUGAAAGGACAAUACUAAGGUGUUUAGAGUCGCUUCCUUAAAGAAAACCCCAAAGCAUUGUAUAUGCCAUGUGCAUGUCAUAGUUCGAAUCUCACUCUU
rnacentral:rRNA from 1 species